AAGGAACUCGAAAUUCAUAGU
rnacentral:miRNA from 1 species